rnacentral:pre_miRNA from 1 species
AUACUACUCCCUCCGUUUCGAAUUACUUGUUGCAGAAAUGGAUGUAUCUAGAUGUAUUUUAGUUCUAGAUACAUCCAUAUCCGAGACAAGUAAUUCCGAACAGAGGGAGUAGUAA